GACGAACGCUGGCGGCGUGCUUAACACAUGCAAGUCGAACGGUGAAGCGCCUUCCUUUUUGGUGGGUGUGGAUGAGUGGCGAACGGGUGAGUAACACGUGAGUAACCUGCCCCCUUCUUCUGGAUAACCGCAUGAAAGUGUGGCUAAUACGGGAUAUUCUGGGUCUGUCGCAUGAUGGGUCUGGGAAAGAUAUUGUUUCGGUGGGGGAUGGGCUCGCGGCCUAUCAGCUUGUUGGUGGGGUGAUGGCCUACCAAGGCGGUGACGGGUAGCCGGCCUGGGAGGGUGGACGGUCACACUGGGACUGAGACACGGCCCGGACUCCUACGGGAGGCAGCAGUGGGGAAUAUUGCACAAUGGGCGCAAGCCUGAUGCAGCGACGCCGCGUGAGGGAUGGAGGCCUUCGGGUUGUGAACCUCUUUCGCCAGUGAAGCAGGCCUGCCUCGUUUGUGGGUGGGUUGACGGUAGCUGGAUAAGAAGCGCCGGCUAACUACGUG
rnacentral:rRNA from 1 species